rnacentral:rRNA from 1 species
UACGGAGGGUGCAAGCGUUGUCCGGAAUCAUUGGGUGUAAAGGGUGCGUAGGCGGGCGUCUAAGUCUGGGGUGAAAUCUUGCCGCUUAACGGUAAAAUGGCCUUGGAUACUGGGCGUCUUGAGUGUAGAAGAGGUAAGUGGAAUUCGUAGUGUAGCGGUGAAAUGCAUAGAUAUUACGAAGAACAUCAGUGGCGAAGGCGGCUUACUGGUCUACAACUGACGCUGAGGCACGAAAGCGUGGGGAGCGAACAGGAUUAGAUACCCGGGUAGUCC